rnacentral:lncRNA from 1 species
GGCAGCGCGACGCCGGGUGGCCCAGCAGCGGGCGGGUGCCGGGGGCGGAAGCGCGGCCACAAGAGGGGGCGAUUCACCGCCGCCCCCCGUGGGACCUGGGUCCUCUACGCGGGACCGCAGGGGCCCCGAGUCGCGGGUUGGGCAAGGUCGCCCGCUCCGGGUCGCUCGGAAGGGUCAUUUCACGGACCGGUCGUCUGGGGCCAGUGCGUCUUGCCCCGCACGGAAGACCCCUCGCUUCGAGGACAGGAAAGCUUUUAAAGUGAGGAUUGGCUCGCCGCGCCUCCCGCAGAGGGGAACGCCGCCCGGACCCGCGCUCCUGGGGCGGGGGCCUCGUAUGCUGGCGUUGCCGGAGCGUCUGCGGCGCUGAAGGCUGCCGAGACCCAGCCACAUCCCCCACAAGCCAGCAGCCCGGCAGAAAAUUACAUAAAAUGCAGCGCUUCGCCGAGGGGGUGCGAGUCGGGGGAGCAGCGCGCAGCUGCGGCUGACGGCUCGGCUGGAUCCAUCCAAGCAUGGACAGGAAAACGGGACUGUGGGGAGAGGGUGGUGCAGACGGGCCGCAGACCCUCCUUAGGAAGAGAAGCCGGAAACUAGGGAGUCAUGUGCAGUUAGAAUCCUCUUGGAAGACUAGUAGGAUGUGAGGUUGGAGAGGUGGACGACGACCAGAAAAUUCCCUUGUCUUGCCAGGCUUCUGACCUAACUAUGAGUUUCCUCCGCGCAUCCAGCCUGCCCUGCUCUGGCCCCUAAAGUACAGCAGUAACACUCAGUGGUGUCCCUGCCUUCCUGGAAUGCGCGUUAACAAUUCUGAUUCUUACUCAUGGCAAUAACCUACACACCACAUAGACGUUAAAUGUGGUUCGGGUCAGACUCUAGGGCAGGACUCACUGCCUGCACCUUGUCUUGGCUCCACCAGCUUGACCUUGAGCAAGUCACAACCUGUGGGUCUCAGUGUUCCUUACUAGUAAACCGUAGGAACAAAGAUUUCUAACAAGAGAGAGAAUAUCUUCCCGAUUCGACUCCCAUAUGUCAAGAGACUCAGAUGUGACUCAUAUUUGCCUGCCAGGAGGAGGAAAAAGAAAUACACUGUCCAGGAGCAACUCCUUAGUGGGUACCCACCAGAAGUGGUCUCCAAACAAGGCAAGAAUCUGUGUAUUCCUCACACAAUUCAAUCCCAGCCAUUCCAUAUGUACACACUGAGGUUUGCUUUUGGGUAAAUGGAAAUAACUUUAGAGUUUCACCACAAGAAAGCUACAUGGUAAGCAAGUGUUGGAAAAUCUUAACAGUGGGUGACAUUAAGCUAUAGGGUUGCAUUUUCAAGGGAACCAACAUCUUAUGCCGUGGCAAGCAACUCCUGACUGGAUAAACAGCUCUUAGAUGUCAUUGAUAGGCUCAAGCUGAGGCGCAGAGGAAGUAUGGCCCAAGGGCAUAUAGCUGGUAAGUGGUGGCUGGACUGCAAUCCCAAGUAGACAGUAUUAUCUUAGACUGAAACACAAACACUGCAAAGUCCAUUCUCCCUUGGCCACGUUUCACAAAAGAGGAAAUGGGACCUGAAAAUUAGGAGACUUACACAGGAUUGCACAGCUAGCGCAUCAGAGAGCUGACAUUUGGAAGCCCACGUGAUAAGUACGUGUGUAAUCUCAUUUACCGCAGGCAACUCUUAGAUUCUGUUAUUCCCAUUUUAAGAAUGAGGAAACUAGUCUGGGCGUAGUGGCUCUCGUCUGUGCUAUCAGCACUUUGGAAGACCAAGGCAGGAGGACCGCAUGAGCCCAGGAGUUCAAGGCUGGUCUUAAACAUAGUGAGACCCUCUCUCUACAAAAAAUUAAAAACUUAGUCCAUGCAUGGUGUUGGGUGACUGUAGUUUGAGCUAUUUGGGGAGACUGAGGCAGGAGAUCACUUGAGCCCAGGAGUUUAAGGCUGUCACAAGCUAUGGUGGUACCACUGUGCUCCAGCCUGGGCAACAGAGCGAGACCCUGUCUCAAAAAAGAAUGAGGAACUAAGGCUAAUAAAGUUUAAGAAUUUGCCUAAAAAUGGAAAGCUUUUUUUUUUAAUCUGUCUGUGAAUGAGAGGAAAAUAAAAUUCAGUAAGGCCUUCCAAAUCACCACUUAGGAAGCCCAACAACGUUAAAUAUGAAUGCAUAUCUAGAAAAUGGUGACCAAAGAAGUCUGGUUCCAACAAUUCACAUAAGAGAGUGGUCAAAAUGGAAUGAAUUAGUAGAUUAGAGUCCAUUUCAAAAGACUCUGAAAAAUGAGAUAAGGAAAUCUGUGAGCAAUGGAGAACAUGCAAAACAACUCAGAUACCUAAUCCAAAGCCUAAUAUUAGUUUUAAUGCAAAUUUGUGUUAACUGAAUUUAGGUUCAUUCAGGAGGCUGUGCUGAUGUUGAUGUACACACAACAUCAGCAUACCUCUGAAGGGCAGGAAGUAGAUGACGUUGGACCUCCAGAACACUAUACCACAAACUGGAUCAGCACCUAGAGGUGAAAUUAAAUGCACACAAAAACCUGGAUCACUUCAUUCAUUCAUUCAACAAAAUAUGUGUUAAAAGUCUUCCCUGGCUCCUGGGCUGUUUUUUGUUUUGUUUUUUUCCGCUUUAGAGACAGUAUGUCAUUCUGUCACACAGGCAGGAGUGCAGUGGUACAGUCAGAGCUCACUGCAGCCUCGCAGUCCUACCGCUGAGUACUUGAGACUACAGGUGUGCACCACCAUGCCUGGCUAAUUUUUUACUGUUUUUUAGAGAUGCGGGUCUUGCUCUGUUGCCCAGGCUGGUCUCAAACUCCUGGCCUCAAGUGAUCCUCCCGCCUUGAUCUUCCUGGACUUCUGUUGGAUAAAUUCCCUAGGAAGAGGAGAGUUAACACUUCGAUAGAUUUUAUUUAUUUAUUUAUUUUUUAGAGACAGGGUCUCACUGCAUUGCCUGGCCUUAAGUGACCCUCCUGUCUUGGCCUUCCAAAGUGCUGGGAUUACAGGCGUGAGCCACCACACCUGGACUUUGAUCGAUUUUUGGAGGACUUUCAAAGUAAAAAUGAAGAAGGUAUCUGAUCUUUUGAUAAGCCCUUAGUCACUAGUAGAUAUUAUAUUGCAUUUAAUUCCUGAUGCCCUUCCUCCACCUACUAGUGGUGUCAUCUUUCCCACAGGACCUUUUCUUCCUUUUAAGUCUAACCCAACCAGCUGUCCCCUUAAUGCUACUUGUCCCUGCCUUCCUCAGCAAAUUGUUUCCACAUUUAUCUCUUCCCUCUCCAACUUCUGCCUCUCCCUUGCCAUUGGCUUCUGUCCUAUUUGUUCCCAGCUUGCAGGCGCUGGCCCAUGUCUGUCUCCAAGUCUUACUCGUUCUUACUUUGAAACAUUUCUCACAGCACUAGAGAAAACACAGUGUGGUUGGACAAGACCUUGGGAACAUGGGAGCUGGGAUCAGAAUGUGUCUGUGUUUGGAUGUCGGAGUUGGGCAACCUCUUGGCUCGGAUAUUUUUCUGUUCGUUUUGUUUAAUAAUCUUUAAAAUAAGCAUGACAACUAAUAACAUUUAUUGGAUAUGUUUGUAUGCUGGACACUGUCCUAAAUCAUUUCCAUGCAUUAUUUAAGGAUCAUGAGACAGCUAGAGGUGUUUGUGAGCAUUUCCAGAGAGCAUGCCUGUGAAGCUCGCUGAACAAUGCCCAGCUCUCAACAUGACCCUGUUAUAUAAGAAUAAUUCUUUUUCUCUCCAUUCCCACUUAGUUCAGGCCCUCAAUCAUCAACAAGCAUCCUCCUUAAAGUUCUCCCUGACUCUCCACCUAAUUAAUCCUGUCAUUUUAUUUUUUUCUUUUCAUUUAUUUAUUUUUAUUUUCUUUGCCACUUCUGUAUCUUCUUUGGAGAUAAUCCUGUCACUACUUUUAAAAACCUUAAGUGCAACUUAACAUAUUGCUUCCCUGUUCACGUCUUUCUCAUUCGCUGUCACCUCAAACCCAAACUCCUUGGCUUGCUUUUAACACUGUGGAGGACAUUCUACUCUCCUCCCUCCCUGCUCCACACCCAGGAAAGAUGACUGUGCAGUAAAGCCAUGGCUCGCUUGCCCUUGAGUUUCCAAUGGGAUUCAUCUGGUAAGAGGCCUCAGCCAGAGAUGGAAGGGUGGGAGGAGAGUGAGGUUGGAGUUUCCAUUUUCCCAGCUCCUUUCCUGCCAAGCCACAGGUUGAUAGUAACUGCUAUUUGUGUGCAUAUAGAGACCCUCUCUUUGCACAUAGAGACCCUCUCUGGGCUUUAAGACCACUGCCUCCCCUGCCCCUUAAGGAGUUGGGCUUCCCUUUUUUUUCUUGUUGAAACAGUGUCUCAGUCUGUCAUCCAGGGUGGAGUGCAGUAGUGCAAUCACGUCUCACUGCAGCCUCGAUCUUUCAGGCACAAUUGAUCCUCCCACCUCUGCCUCCCAGGUAACUGGGACUACAGGCACCCACCACCACAACUGGCUAGUUUUUGCAUUUUUUCUACAGACGGGGAUUCACCAUGUUGUCCAGGUUGGUCUCGAACUCCUGGGCUCAAGCAAUCCUCUGGCUCAGCUUCCCAAAGUGCUAGGAUUAUAGGUGUGACUACCAUACCCAAGCCGUUAAUCUCUUUUCAAAAACCUUAGAGUCAUAUCUUUUUUUUUUUUUUUUUUUUUGAGACAGAAUCUUGCUCUCUUGCCCAGGCUGGAGUGCAAUGGCAUGAUCUCGGCUCACUACACCCUCCGCCUCCCAGGUUCAAGCAAUUCUGCCUCAGCCUCCCCAGUAGCUGGGACUACAGGUGCACACCACCACAUCCAGCUAAUUUUUGUAUUUUUAGUAAAGACAGGGUUUUACCAUGUUGGCCAGGCUGGUCUCGAACUCCUGACCUCAGGUGAUCCACUUGCUUUGGCCUCCCAAAGUGCUGGGAUUACAGGCGUGAGCCACAUGCCUGGCCAGAGUCAUAACUUUUAUAUCAUACAUGCAACUCAUCAGUAAACCAUCCAAUUAGCUUACCUUCAAAAUGUAUCCAGAAUCUAAGCACUUCUCAUCCGGAAGAG